UACGAAGGUGGCAAGCGUUGUUCGGAUUUACUGGGCGUAAAGGGCGCGUAGGCGGCUCGGCACGUCCGUUGUGAAAUCGCCCGGCUCAACUGGGCGGGGUCGGCGGAUACGGCCGAGCUGGAGCAAGCUAGGGGGUAAUGGAAUUCCCGGUGUAGUGGUGGAAUGCGUAGAUAUCGGGAGGAACACCAGUGGCGAAGGCGGUUACCUGGAGCUUUGCUGACGCUGAUGCGCGAAAGCGUGGGGAGCGAUCCGG
rnacentral:rRNA from 1 species